CGCUUAUCCAGAAAGAUGGAGGGAAUUGACCCGAUGAAAUCUUGGCAACCUGCAAAUGUAAGGUGCCGCAUUCAACCUCAAGAUUUGAGGAAAGAUAAGUC
rnacentral:ncRNA from 1 species